rnacentral:rRNA from 1 species
UACGUAGGGUGCGAGCGUUGUCCGGAUUAUUGGGCGUAAAGAGCUCGUAGGCGGUUUGUCGCGUACGGCCGUGAAAUCUCCACGCUUAACGUGGAGCGUGCGGUCGAUACGGGCGAGACUUGGAGUUCGGUAGGGGAGACUGGAAUUCCUGGUGUAGCGGUGAAAUGCGCAGAUAUCAGGAGGAACACCGGUGGCGAAGGCGGGU